UUCUAAAAAAUAUUUGUAUUGUCGUCGAAAAAUACAAAAGUGGGGUUUGAUUUUGGCAGCUCCCACGAACUUGCCAUUCGUGAUCCCGCAAUCCCAUAUUGUUGGUUAGGAAAAGAGUGGGCCACCACCUAUCCAUGUUCCUUAAAACUUGUGGUCGAAAUUGUUGAAUCUGCAAUUAAAUAUAAAAAAUUAAGAUGAUCCUAACAGAGAAUAAUUUUUACUAUAGAAUUCAAGUAUAAAGUAAUUGAUUAGAUUAAAAUAUGCUAAUCAUUCUUUUACUAAUUUAGAAUAUUUAUUGCUUAUAAAUGAAAACUCAGCAGAAAAAAAAAAAUCCUUAUCGAUAGUAGCAAAAUUAUACAAAGUUAUGAUCAAAUGAUGGGGUAUCUUUAACUUAUUAACAUGACUAGAAAAAAGAAUAGUGUCAAACAUUAAGGGUAGAUUUCAAUUUUCUUUUUUCUUUCCUUAGUUAUCAAAUAUUUAUGGCAGGUACCCUUAAAUUGCUGCAACUGAGAAAGUCAGCUGGAACAGAACAGACUGUAGCAGGAGGAUAAACAAAAUCAAUAGUCUAUCCAAAAUAACAAAAUGUUCUAAUCAAAUAUUGAGUUAUUAACAAAAUCAACUAUUGAAAAUAAAUUACAAAUAUAGAUUGUAGCAGGAGGAUAAAUAAAAUCAAUAGUUGGUUUAUCCAAAAAACAAAAUGUUCUAAUUAAAUAUUGAGUUAUUAACAAAAUCAAUUAUUGAAAAUAAAUUACAAAUAUAUUCAGGUUUUGUAUGCUUAAAUGUAGUCAAGAAACUUUUAAAAACGGAUGAAUGUUUUGAUUCAGUUGAAAAAUAAAAUAAAUUGAGUAAUGGUAGUGUAGCUCAGAAUAAAAACAAUAAAAAAACUAAUAGAAAAGAAAGGAUAGCAUAUCAUACAUCUGGCUUUGGGUAUCUAACACUAUUUAUAUUUGUGCAAUAUAGUAGUGUGGAGGUAGAGCCAGCACUAUCCACCGGCCACAGUCCAUGCACAAUGACUUCCUCAUUAACAUAUCGUAAUCGUCUACAGUUACGGUAUGCACAAUAUCCCCUUGGAAAUGUUAAAACUAUCCAUAAAUGGUCCUGAGCAGAGAUGAACUGAAUUAAUAAAACUAUAACCACCAAAACCUUCAUGUUUGAUGCAGAAAGUUUGUGUAAGAAAAUGCUAAGUGAGUGAAGAAAAGAUUGCGUAACAGAAUGCUUAGCAGAAGUGUGUAAGAGAAUGCAAGAAAAGAUUGUGUGAAAGGUUUCAUUCAUCUUUCCAUUUAUAUAACUAUCUGCAAACUAUAUAAUGAAUUCACCCUCUUUGCACGUAUGUCCUAAUAUAUUUAAGUCCAUUUUGCAUGACUCAACCACUUAUAACUGACUCAACUGCUAAAUAUUUAUUUAAUUAUAACUCAGUAUAACUCAAUUUGCGUGACUCAACCACUAAUAACUUUAUUUAAUUAUAACUUAAUUUUGCAUGACUCAACCAAUCAAUUUUAAUGUGAGAUAAAAGAAUGAAUUAAAUAACUAUAAUACAAAGACGCUAAGAAAGAAUAGUGGAAAACAAAAAGAAGCUUUUAAGUAUAGCUAUCCCUAUUACAAACAAAACGAAGCUUUUAAGCAUAGCUAUCCCUAUUUACAACUUCUUUACUUCCCUGACGGCUCAACCACCACAAAAAGUCAGUAUAAGAAACCAUCUCAACACAGCUUCACACCACAAAACACAUUCAACACAUCCAGAUAAGCACUAAACACUACUAAAGAACUACUCUGUUUCAAGAGUAUUUCUAAAAACAGAGUAUUUCUCUAGUAGUGUUUGGGUGCUAUCUGGAUAUUUCGUUGGGACUGUGAAUCUGCAUUGUUUUUAAAUUGAUUCGGAUUAAUUGAGUUGGUUAUAAGCGUAUUGGGUGAGAGUUGUUUUCUGAUGUGAUUGUAUUUUAGAUGAUUUGUGCACAAAUUGUGUCGAAAGAGAAGCAUAGCAAAAGAAACCUAAAAAAUGGUGCUUUCUGAAAACAAAACCCUCUCGGAAUGAGAGAAUUUUUUUACUUUUUUGAAAACCAACUAUUUUAGGAAAUCCAUAAAAAAAAACAUAAACAAUCCUAGUAUCUCAUCUAACAGAAAACAAUCUACUGAAAAGGUAAUCCACCCUUGUUUUCUUGUUGAAUUAGCAGCCCUACAUAUGGAACUGAAACUCGCUUGCCUCCUCCAUUCUCGAAUUGUUUUGUUUUGUUUUGCUUUCCGAGGGCUCGAUUAGAGGCGUCUCCGCCUCCGCUCUGUCGCCAUUCCUAUUCCAUUUGGUAAUCUCGUCUUCCUAUAAACCUUCUCUUUCAAUACUGUUUUCAACCCACAAAUGAGAAGAAUUCGUUUUGCAUGUCUCUCGCUCUUAAAUCUCCAAACUCCUUUCUUUGCCAAAAUAGCCCAAUUCCCACGACUUUAUUUAGGGUUGCUCGCCUGCCCAUCAAUCCCCUUUUUGUGGUUGCCGCAUUUUGCUCGAAUACAAAAGCAUCUGAUUCCGGUUUUGUCACGACCCGGUACUCUCCUCGAGUCCGUGACAACCGCCGCGGUACCCCGAUAGACACUCAUUUCCCGGAAUGCCAACCGGGACCCGGCAAGGCUUAAUAUCAGUAUCUCAUUUCCCCUGUGAGUAACCGUUGCCGAAAAUCAUGUUCUAGAAGAUUUUAAGCUGUUUCCAACUCAAAACAAAUAAAAUAAUAAUUUUCGUCUCAUAGGGGUAUUUUAGUCAUUUUUCUUCAAAAAUUUCGAAAUCGGCUAAAAUGUAAUAUACGAGUACAAAACAUAUAAUUCAUAAUCAAAAGUGAGUUUUAAAGUCUAAAAUCUUCAUUUAAAAUGAAAUUUCGAUUAUUUGGAUAUAAUAAGAAAAUAAAAGAAAUGUUAAGUAAAAUAUUCUAUUUUCUUAUAAAAUAAUAUUUUUAGAGUUAUACGUAAAUAAUUUUUGUAGCGUAAAAGUUAAAUAAAUUCAUACAUACUGUAAUACAGUAAGCCAAAGUAUUUAAUUUAAUUUACAAUAAUAAGUGGGCCCCUGAAUAAAUAAAAGUAAAGAGGACUAUAAACCUACAGUUUGAAGAAUGCAAACCCAACGGUAAUCCUCGAUGAGAUCAGCUAUCUACAGUCUAAUCUGAGCCUAAAAUGGAGGGAAAGGAGGGUGGUGAGAUUAUAAAAUCCCAAUGAGUAAACAGACAUCAUCAUAAACAUCUAGAGUUGAGUACAUGAAGACAAUAAAGUAAAUCAUCGUAAAGUGGGUCACAGUAUUAGAAUACAUUUCAUUCAAAAUACGUGAAGAGGCUUAUGAAUCUCAUAAAAACUAAGCUUGUGUCAUAAAUCCAUUCUCAGGGAUACCUUGGCCGAGGCAUCCUACCGAGACUGCCAAGGCUGUUAAAAAUUCACAUUUUGCAUAAAUCAUAUUUUUGUUUUGAAACAUAGCCGUUCUUUGGCGUUGGCUGAGUUCCCCCCUCACGUGGUGAUUUGGAGUGAAGUGAACCCUAAGCUUUACCCUAGGAGAUACCCUACGCGCCUCUCCGUUUGAGGUAAGAAUAUAAUGGGGUUUACUGUGCCCCUCUAAAAAGCUGAUCCACAGAAACUCCUUACUGUAGUGAUUAAUUAAUAUAUAAUCCACCAUAUAAUAAAAUUUUGACAGCAUGACAGGGCUAAUGAAAUACUAUCUAGCCUGCACGGGUAAAAUAAAACAAUUCAUACAAUUCAUAAAACACAGCCUAGCUAGUCAUGCCAACACAAUAACAAUAUAACAUAAGCCAUCAAUUUAAACAAUCAAAUUGCCACAAUUAACAGUCUCCGUGUACUCUAUUUUUUAAAAUCAUUAUUAAUUUCAAAACAAUUUAUAAACUAAUUUCAUUGGAACACCUUUAUUCAUAAAACAUAAAAAUUUACCUUUUUAAAUCUAUUUUUCCAUAGAAUUCAUGAAAUCAUCUAAAAACCACCCUAGAUAAUUAAAAUGACAGUAAGUUUACUCACAAUGUCUAGAAUGCAGACUUUCGAAGUACUUUGUCUAUUGGUCCUCGGAUGCAAUUUCCUUGCCUUUAUCGAAUGACUCACCACCUUGACACAGUACAAAAUCGAGAAAUUCACCACAUUGAUACUAAAUCGAAAUUAAACUAAUUUAGACUACUAAUGCAUGAUAUGGAAUGCAAAAAUAUCCGAAUAGUCGUUUAAAUACGGUAUUCGACCUAAUUCGCACUAUUCUCGAUGUAAUUGGCUAAAACCUCCAAUUUAACUCCAAAUCGAUUUCUUUCACUUUCUACACUCCAAUUAUACUUAAAAUACCUCAAUGACUGUGAAUAUAAUUCAAUUUAUCAAUCCAAACCAUAAAUCACACAUGUCUAUACAUUAGGUAAAAAUUCAGAUUUUCAUGCCAAAAUUUCCCAUUAAAUUUCUAGCCUCACCAAUCAUUAAAUACCACCAAAAUAUCAUGAAAUAUCAUCAAUUUCAGCCUCAAUAUCCUCCCUAGAAAAUUCGGCCUCUUGUGGGUUUGUGAAGAACAAAGUGAUUUCUUGCUAGAUUUUCAUACUUUCCAUUACUAAACAACCAAAAACACUUAAUUAACUUGAAAUCUAGCAAAAUCAAUGCUCAAAACCUCUCCUCUCAAAUUUGGCCAGCAUGGGUUCAUCAUGAAAACUUGAGUUCUAAGCAUGAAAAAUGAAAAAGAAAGCAUGGGUAGUGUAAAUCACAAGAUAAAAUCACAAAAUUUUACCUUUAUUAGCUUAAUUUCUUGAAAUCCCACACUUUUUCUUCAAUUUUCCCACCUAGGUUUUGUUCUUUCUUUGUUCUUCUUCACUUCAUGCUUUGGCCAG
rnacentral:lncRNA from 1 species